CUGAAGCAGGGGCCCCGCAGAAGUUUCCCACACGUGUCACAGGCCGAUGUCAUGACAAGAGAGCGAGGGAGAGAGGAAGAGGGCCGGGAUCUGGGAAUGAGGGGAAGAUUAGCUCUGAGGAGCGGGAAUGAGAAUAAUGAGUGAGGACAAACCCCUGUUAGAAGCAGAGAAGACAAAGACCUCAGAUGAUGAUUGACCCGAUGGCAGCGCAGGGACGCGGAGAACAGGAAAAGGGGCACAGAUGGACGGAAGCACUCAGCGGUAUAAGUGUUAAAGCGCUCUGUGUUCUAAGAGCAUCUUUGCGUCAGUGACAACGAUAGCUGACGGAUCGAGCCUCUGACUGGAACCACUGCAAUGGAGAUUUUCUUCCAUUUGUCUGUCUCGCUCUCGCACUGUCAGAAUGUGUGAUGUGAUCAGUGAUCCCGACUUGAUACCUCUGGUAGCAGGCGAGGCGAGAGCCUGCGUGUGCUCGGUGAAGGGCAUCCAUCCAGAACGGAGCGGUGGCCAGCUGAGGAGUCCCUGCACGCCUCGGCUUCAAGCUGCUCCAUGGGAACUGGGGGGGAUGGAUGGCAGCUGUUUCCCUGGAGACCUGGAUUAACAGGGACCUGCUCUCUAAUUACCUCACACCCACCUAAGUCGAGAGCAAGGCAGAGAGCGCGCCUCACCUCGAGACCCUUAACGCAGAAACAAAGAAUAUCUAUUUGGCCGCGUUUUCUUGGAAGGAAGAUGCGUAGAGGCAAGAGUGCAACGGCCGAGGACAUGGAACCUGGAAAGGAAGCAACACAGGCCUGUGGGAUACAAUGCUGGCAUAGAGCUGAGAUGACAGGUAAAAACAUUGCUGCAACUCCUUCCUGCACUGAAUGUGUAAGUGACAUUAAUUAAACUUCCCCGCUCGAGCAAAAGGACAUGAUCGCUGGAAUGUUUCAUGAAGUGAGGCAACCCUGUUUGCCUUCAUUAAAGCCAAAGCACAGAGAGCUGCAGGCCGUUAAAUCGCCCUUGACACCAGAAAGAACAGCGCGUUAUUACUGGACCUCCUAGUACGGUGCGGCCGGUGGCUUGCGUGUCUUUCGUGACGGUUGACACGAGUGACUCAUGCAUCCUAGAGCCCCAGAAAGAGAGGCUCGACUUAUACGUCUCCCAGAGUGUCAAUUAUACGUCCUUCAUCGUGCGCAGACCAGUGGAGAACAAAAACCGCUUUGUGCCCCAGUUUUAGUUCGCUGCAGACUGUUUUUUAUCAUGUUUUUUUGGAGGUGAGCCAUCGCCGGAGACUGUGAUGAUAUCAUGAAAAUAAUGGGCAUCUAUCAUCGGCUACAAAGUGAAACCAAUGGCAGCGUUUCUUACUUUGAUAACUUCUGAAGCUCAGGCGCCAAUAAAUUCUGCGGCAACAAAGAAGAAACUUCCAUGACCUCUGAGCAGUAGAAUUUGUCUGUUUUUUCUGCCUUCUAUGGGAAAUUUGGAGCUGAACAUCCUGCACGUCCCUCCUAAUCCCAAGAGAGAGGAGCAGAGAAGGGGCAACUGGUAGAAAAACACUGGACAGGAAUGCCACAGUUACAGGGAGGUUACCCUAUACGGCUUAGGUCUGUCAUACUCUGUGGCUGCCACUACAACUGGGGGAGGAAUGAAAGGAGACUAGCGUUUGAGGGGAAUAUGCUAUUAUGUAAUACAGUACCUGGGGCUCUCUGCUAUCCCUAUAUGCCCUUUUCCCCUUGGACCGUGACACAAAACGGGCAUGCGCUAGUGGAGAGUGUAUAAUACGACAGCUACUGGCUGUUGUUCUCCAACUUCGUGGAAACACUGUAAAUCAGAAAGUUUGUCAUAUGCUUGUUGUCGUCUUUCUAGCUUGCACAGUUUUCACGCAGGGUAAUAAUAGCAGAAGAAUUUUGUGUCAUAACCUCUUAGCCUUCGCUGGGUCAUUGAGCCCUGUGCAGUCACCACCACAGGCAGCCGCGUGUAAAGCUUCCGUUGCCGCUAGCAACAGGCCGGAAAUAUUCAGAUCUGGUAAUAUUUAAUUUAGGAAAACUACCAAAUGAGGCCUUACAGUAUGUCUCAUUUAUAUUUUUCCCAUGGUGUAAUUUAAAUUUUAUAGAGGAAAUACUAUUUCAUACUAAAAUAACAUUUCACCCAUCCGCUUCACAGUUUAGAGGCUGAAAACUCACAUCCACUUUUCAGGAACAUUAACUCCAAUAAUUUGCAGGCUAAACUUCAGGGAGGAAUUAUACUGCGUGAUCAACACACAAAACAGCAGCGACAUAAAGAAAUUGAUUAAAAAAGGUUGUAGCAGAAAAGCCCUAAAGCGUUACGCCCCGAAAAACCCCGCUCGUAUUUCUCUAAUGAGAUUUUGGAUUCUUUUCUCCUGAAUAUUUGAGAGUGAAGCAAUUAAGAGGUUAGAAUUUGGGAGCCUGAAGGAGAAUUCUGCCGAGCCUUAAAUUGCUUGGGAAGUCAUUUUGUUUUGAACUGUGUCAUAAAUUCUAAUGAUGUUAAUGGGCUUAAUUGGAAUUUUCUUAACCAUAGGUUUGUUGUUUAAUAUAUGCCACAAGAAUUCACUGCUUCCCCCCCCCCGUUCCGCACGCCUGAUGGGAUUCAUGUGAAUAUGGCACAAGACUUUUUUACAACUGCGGUGCAGCAGUGAAAGGCUGUGGGUCAGCAGCAUCCAUUCUGCCUUCAUAAUAUUAUCCCGUAAAAACACGUAUGUGCUGUUAUACACACACACAACAUAAACCUCCCCCUAUAUAUACACGCGCCUCACUUUAUUUAGCGUCACAUACCGCUGGUCUUCACCGGGUUCACUUUUAUUUUUACCCAUUGAGUGAUUAAAAAUAUAUGGCCUCACCCUGUAAAUUUUAAUGCUCGGCCAACGUGUCUAUUUCUGAAAUGUGCGCGGCGGUACUGCCGUGAGCGAGCCUGCUGCUGUUUGUGUGGAGUCAUGUUAAAGAUGACAUAGACCUUGACAUAGGCACCGAUAAACCUUCAUCUCCACUUUGAUUUGUCCUUAGACAGCUCUAGGAAUUUUCCACUACACCAAGCACGCUCUUGUCAAGUCACCACUUUGAAAUAUGAAAGCAAUUCCAGCGUAGAACCUUUUUUUUUUUUUUGUGUCCACAUAAAACAAUAGACAAUUUGCACAUGUCAUGGAUUAUUAUGCAUUAGGGGAAUACCUUCAUGUCAAGCAGUACUUUGCAUCUGAAGACGCUAUGCUAAAGUCUGCUAGAAGAAGCUGGCCUGUGUUGUUCUGGGUCAAGAGUAUUUCCUGCAUCUCCUUCGGUGGUGCAUCCGCUCCUCAUCCCAGAGAACACCGAGACAAUAGAACAGAUGGAGGAAGAGCACUGUCCGUGCAUCUGGUUAAAUGCAUUCAAAGGCCAUUUUUAGCACGUCUCCCACUGACAUAGAGGCCUAAAACAACAUUUAAGUGGAGCCGUGCCACCGUUUCAUGUUAACAGGAGCAGAAAUUGAAAAUUGUUGUUCUUUUCAGCGAGGUGCUGGGCUGACGUUUCGACAGUUAAGAGGUCUUUAAAAUGCAAAAUGCCAGCAGCAAAGGAAAAAAAACAAAAAAAAAAACAUGCGAACCCCACACUGCUUCCUUUAUUGGAGUUAACAGGGGUCGUUUAAUGUCAGGGUCUGGCACGUUAUGUAAUGUCAUGAUUUAGGCUCCUUCAAUGGAAACUGUAUCUGGAAAUUCUGUCGAACAGUCAAUAUCUCUGUCCGUGAACAUUGUUAACGCUACGACCGUGUUCCCUGUUCACUUCCACCUGUGGAUGUUUGUUAUGUGUAGUUAGUUUUUUGUUGUCAUUUAUGUAAUAAAGUCAUAAAUGACAAACAGAAAAAAGGGUUUAUGAAUGCCAUAUUCUUGCAUGUUAUGAUUUGGACCAACCUAAACAGUUUUAUGUUAUGUUUUAUGACUUAAAAUGUUGGUGUAUAAACCAUGAGACCUAUAUUGAAGUCAGUAAAUAGUCAUAAAAG